UACAGAGGUCUCAAGCGUUGUUCGGAUUCAUUGGGCGUAAAGGGUGCGUAGGCGGCGCGGUAAGUCGGGUGUGAAAUCUUGGAGCUUAACUCCGAAACUGCAUUCGAUACUGCCGUGCUUGAGGACUGGAGAGGAGACUGGAAUUUACGGUGUAGCGGUGAAAUGCGUAGAGAUCCGGAGGAACACCAGAGGCGAAGGCGGCCUGCUGGGCUGCACCUGACGCUGAGCCGCGAAAGCCAGGGGAGUGAACGGG
rnacentral:rRNA from 1 species